CCUACGGGAGACAGCAGUGGGGGAUAUUGCACAAUGGGGGGAACCCUGAUGCAGCGACGCCGCGUGGGUGAAGGAGCGUUUCGGCGCGUAAAGCCCUAUCGGCAGGGAAGAAGAUGACGGUACCUGACCAAGAAGCCCCGGCUAACUCAGUGCCAGCCGCCGCGGUAAUACGGAGGGGGCAAGCGUUAUCCGGAUUUACUGGGUGUAACGGGGGCGCAGACGGCAAUGCAAGCCAGGAGUGAAAGCCCGGGGCCCAACCCCGGGACUGCUCUUGGAACUGCAUGGCUGGAGUACAGUAGGGGCAGGCGGAAUUCCUAGUGUAGCGGUGAAAUGCGUAGAUAUUAGGAGGAACACCGGUGGCGAAGGCGGCUCACUGGACUGUAACUGACGUUGAGGCUCGAAAGCGUGGGGAGCAAACAGGAUUAGAUACCCGUGUAGUC
rnacentral:rRNA from 1 species